GGGGAGUUAGCUCAGUGGUAGAGCACUUGCCUAGCAAGUGCAAGGCCCUGGGUUCAGUCCCCA
rnacentral:tRNA from 1 species